rnacentral:rRNA from 1 species
ACGGAGGGUGCAAGCGUUAAUCGGAUUUACUGGGCGUAAAGCGUGCGUAGGCGGCUACGUAAGUCAGUUGUGAAAGCCCCGGGCUUAACCUGGGAACUGCAAUUGAUACUGCGUGGCUAGAAUUCGGUAGAGGAAGGUGGAACUCCAGGUGUAGCGGUGAAAUGCGUAGAUAUCUGGAAGAACAUCAAUGGCGAAGGCAACCUUCUGGGCCUGAAUUGACGCUGAGGUACGAAAGCGUGGGGAGCAAACAGG